rnacentral:rRNA from 1 species
GGAAGGCGCGGCUUACACAUGCAGUCGAGCGGUAACAGGGGGUGCUUGCACCCCGCUGACGAGCGGCGGACGGGUGAGUAAUGCAUAGGAAUCUGCCCAGUAGUGGGGGAUAGCCCGGGGAAACCCGGAUUAAUACCGCAUACGCCCUUUGGGGGAAAGCAGGGGAUCUUCGGACCUUGCGCUAUUGGAUGAGCCUAUGUCGGAUUAGCUAGUUGGUGGGGUAAAGGCCUACCAAGGCGACGAUCCGUAGCUGGUCUGAGAGGAUGAUCAGCCACAUCGGGACUGAGACACGGCCCGAACUCCUACGGGAGGCAGCAGUGGGGAAUAUUGGACAAUGGGGGCAACCCUGAUCCAGCCAUGCCGCGUGUGUGAAGAAGGCUUUCGGGUUGUAAAGCACUUUCAGUGAGGAGGAAAACCUUCUGGUUAAUACCCAUGAGGCUUGACGUUACUCACAGAAGAAGCACCGGCUAACUCCGUGCCAGCAGCCGCGGUAAUACGGAGGGUGCAAGCGUUAAUCGGAAUUACUGGGCGUAAAGCGCGCGUAGGUGGUUUGAUAAGCGAGAUGUGAAAGCCCCGGGCUUAACCUGGGAACGGCAUUUCGAACUGUCAG